UGGCCGCGGCAAAGCCAGCUCCAGUCUGAGUCUGUCUGGCUGCCAGGGAAGCAAGGGCCUCGGGAGCCUGCCCCUGAUGGGCCACCACACUGCUCCUCCGCCCUGGCCGUGUGUGACAGCACGUGCGUGGGCCUGGUGCUCUGGAUUCUCGGGCGAGGCCUCACCUCCUCCCUUGGCUGCUACUGAGCUGUGCUCAGCUCUGACAUCUGCCUGGAGGGAGUCUCCUCACCUUCGUUUGGAAACUUUCAUCUUAUUCUGCAGGUUUUGGUUGACGGCUAACACAUGGCAGUGAUCAGAGGAUUUACCUUCUCUAUGCCCAAGCUGCCCCAUCUCUACAGUGUGCAUAAUAGUAUCAUGGGGUUAUUAUGGAAAUGAAAUGAGAUAAUGCACAGAAAGCAUUUAGAACUGUUCCUGAAGCAUGGGCGAAGUCCUCUCUGAAGCUCUUCUCUCUGUCUGGCCAGCUGCUGCGGUGGCCACUGUCCGGUGCAAUAAGGAAUCGCUCUUUGGGGAGAAUUCUCUACCCUGCCUCCAUCGCCUUUACUGGCUCCUGGCUUCAUGCUCAGGUAUUCUGACAGGGCUGGUUGUGAGUUCCACAUGACUUCUUCUUGGGUUCUGCCACCCACCAUGCCUGGGGGUGGGAGGAGGCGAAAUGCUGCUUGGUGGAAACCCCUGAUUCUGAGCCGCACGGACGCCCUGCAGUCCACCCACGCGUGGUGGCCAGAGUCCUUUAAAGAAACGUCCUUUUGAGCCUCUCAGCAAACCGUCAUUUCCAGUGUCCCCCAACCCAGAAACAAUAGACGUUACUUGGAGGCAACAAGGUUUUCGCCUACGUGUUUCUUUAUGAGGCCAGAAUUACUGCCCUGGGAAGGUUCCCUUCCUCGGGCAGGACUGCAAAGGUGGGAAAGGUGAUGGUGCUGGUCCUCAAGGUGGCUCUGCUGUCUACCAGUUCCCAAUUUAAACGUGUGACUUGUAGGCAAGGCCAGGAGAGAGGGGCAUGGCAAGUGGCCCUACGUGUAAAACAAGAAGUGUGGGUUCUUCUGAAAAAAAAUCCACAACAAUUUUUGGUUUGACCUAAACUGCUUUCCAAGAACUCUAUGUGACAAUGACAAUAACCAGACCUGAGGGCUAGAGGAUUGGGCAAGGCCUUUGUUUACAUAAUAAAUAAAAGCAAUUCCUCAGGAAAAUACAGCCAGUGUAUAAUUGCAUGUAGACAGAACUUCAGAUUCUGCUCCAAACUCUGGGGAAACCACACUGCCCUCUUCAAGCGUGACCAUUCUGCAAUGCAUGCUACACUAAAUCACCUGUUGCCAUCAAGGCGGCAUAUUUUGUUCCUUUGUGAGUUAGCCUGGGAUGCAAAAUUAGAGAAACUUUGCAAUGAGAAAUCUCCCCCAUGUCUCAUUGAAUUCUUCCCUUAAUUCAAACCUUUCCUUUUGCAGUUCUGAUUAGUGCCUUUGCCCAUUUGGACAAUAUUUUAUGGUCAGGUUUUAAGAGUAAUCCGUCCAUGGCUGUUUGGCUGCCUGGAACUUAAAACGACAACAACAACAAUGUCCAGAGAAACCCAAUAAAAUAGCCUUUUAAA